rnacentral:rRNA from 1 species
UACGGAGGGGGCAAGCGUUAUUCGGAAUUAUUGGGCGUAAAGGGCGCGUAGGCGGCCGCCUAAGUCAGACGUGAAAUCCCUCGGCUCAACCGGGGAACUGCGUCUGAUACUGGGUGGCUUGAAUCCGGGAGAGGGAUGCGGAAUUCCAGGUGUAGCGGUGAAAUGCGUAGAUAUCUGGAGGAACACCGGUGGCGAAGGCGGCAUCCUGGACCGGCAUUGACGCUGAGGCGCGAAAGCCAGGGGAGCAAACGGG